AUGCGGCAGAGGGCACAGCCGUCUGGGGGCAAGGGAUGGGGCUGCAUCGCCCUUCCCCGUUGCACCACCGCCUCCCGGGGCAGGCACUUGAGGGCGGGGGGGGGACUCUCCCCGUCCAGGCAGCCCCGCACCGUCCCCCCGAGGCCCGACCCAGUCGGGCCGCACCACGGCAGCCCUGCAGCGCCCGCCGCCAACCCGCCGCUAUCACCAGCUAAAGAAGCGGUGAAGCGGCCCCGGUGCCCCCCAGCCGGUUCUUCGGCCCAGCCGGGAAAGGGCCCGAGCAUCGCCGCCCUCCGCCGCGCUCCUUCAUCCGCGGAAAUAGCGCGCCGGGGCCAAGCCGGCUGCCCGCCCCGUCGGGGCCGCUCGCCUUGGGCCAUCAGCGCGGCCUCCUUGCUCCCGCCGCCGCCUUCCCCCUGCUUCUCCCGGGGGGCGAUAUUGAGUGUUGGGGGAAGGAUUUCGAUUUCACACCGUUUAGUUACAGAGCGCAAACUCGACUUAAAAAAAAAAAAAAAUACUAUGUAACCAUGGUAACCAUGUCACUUUGAUUUAGAUGAUUUAUCUAGUGAGCCAAUACUUUGUGAGUAGAGAAACCAAAAUCUGAGUCCAUCACAAUACAGAGAGAGGUCUCUCAGCACCUUGAAAAUGAUGAUAUCUCCCCCUCCUGGGUCAGGCUGAAAUCAUGCUGGAGAUUUAGGAACAGCUUCCUGUCUCACACAAAUUUCACAGCUGUGUAACCCCUUUGGUGCUACUUCUAGAAUUGGCACAAACACUACUGUGGAGCCACCCCAUCCAAAGCUUGUCUCUGCUWUUGUACAAAUCAGAAAUAGCUCUCCAGGCAAUUCUGAAAACAGAGUAUCAGGUGGAAAUGGCUAUUUUUGGAGCCUAGAUUUAACAAGCAGGUUGGAUUGUUUUGAGACGAGGAAUGCAGAUAUGGUCAARUCCAAGGGGAAGGUUAAGAGUGAAUGGUCUAUUAUUUUAUUCAUUCAUUCCACUCUCUCUGAAUGCCCAAAGACAACUCAUUAACAAAUGUAACAGUGGAAAGAGGGCUCAGACUAGGCRGCUUCGAGGCUGUCUUAACACAGCCGGUCAGGAUGCUUUCUUCAGAGUGUUUGUAUGUAAUAGUUAAAUGCUGUAUCCGAUCUUUCUUUCUGAAAUAACCUUGUGGCUGUGGAGACUGAUGAAAAACUCCAGGAUUCUUGAUGUUAUUUUUAUUUUGCCUAUAUACUCUCAGCUCCCUUUCUUUUGAAAAUAGCUGUUUCUCUAACUCCAGAUAUAUAUUUUUUUAAUCCUCAGCUCUUAAACAGGAGUUUGCCAGCCUGGAAGAAGAAUGUCAAUGAAUUGUCAAUUCUUUAUAUUGAGUAAUUGAUUAAUUGGCACAAUGUUAAUCUCUAAAUCAGCAGUAAUAAAUUCUUUCAUUUUUAAUCUUGAUCUAAAAGU
rnacentral:lncRNA from 1 species